UUUCCUGCUGCCUUGUGAAGAAGGUGCUUGUUUCUUCUUUGCCUUCUGCCAUGAUUGCCAUGUGAAUCGCACCCCUGGAACUGUGCAGGGCCCACCUGUGUGGCCACACGCAGUGACCCUGAGCAAAGGAGUGACCACAGAAGUGCAUGGCAAAGCAGAAAGGUGUGACGUCUUGGAGGACGCGGGAGGAAAGCACGCCCAGCGGACAGGAGCCAUCACGCGGCUGCGGGCUGCUGCUGAGAACCUGGCGUGGGCCACCGUCGUCAGCAGCGUGGAGGUAACUGACGACCUUGGCCAAGAAGUUGGGUGGCAGCGUGGAGGUCAUGCUCAGAGACACUUGUUAUUGCAGUCAGAGUCCAUCUGGAUAAUCCUGGAUAAAUCUCAUCUGGAGAUCCUUCACCAGAUCACAUCGGCAAUGACCUGUUCCCCAAAUAAGGCCCUGUGCACAGGUUCUGGGGUGCUAGGAGUGAGCCACCAUGCCUGGCCCAGUUUUUAAUGCUUGGACAUCUCCAAAAUCAGGACAUAUCUUGUAAUUGAAGACGUCUCACCAUAGCGGCCAGCCGUGCAACCACUGGGCCUGUCUGUGCCUGAACAACACACUGGCCUGCCUUUGCCUGAACAAGACAGCCUUAGUCUCAAAGCUUGCAGAUGGGUGUGGCCUGGUAGAAAAUUCUCAAGACAACGGCGGAGCACGCUUGCCCCUAGGAGACCAAGUGGCCGGAAUGUUGAGAAUCAGCCUUUCGCAGAAAUCCCCUAAGCGGGAGGCAGCAGGCUGACUCCAUCAGCCCCAGGCAGGCUUCUGGGCCCUGCAGCUAUGGCUCUUCAUCCUUUUACAUGUUCUUCGAGAAUCAGCUGCACCCUGGAUGCUUCUGACAGCUCAGAGGACAUCAGCAUGAGGACAAGCACAGGGCUUGAUGGCUCGGAGGGAAAUGGAGUUGGAAGAUUUGGACUUAAUGUGCACACAUUUUAGAAAUAUCUUAACAAAUUUUAUUUUGCUGAUAUCUUUCUUUUUUGUGUGUGCCAAAGUGAUGGCCAGUACAAAUCCAUGUCUAAUUAAGUCCAGAAGAGCUCCUUCAAUAAGCGUAAGAUGAAAGUUAUGAGUGAUAAGAAAGCGUCAUGUCAGUUUAAUUGGCAGCAUUUUCUCUUUCUUAGUGGUUCAUAAAAUAAGGCAGUGCUUUGCUAUCGACGGUGUCUGAAAUUCUGUGAAUAUUCAAAGUUAAAUCUCAUGCUGAACAGCCACUGUGCGCAAGGCGGGUGA
rnacentral:lncRNA from 1 species